CGUGCUCGCUCGGCUCGCCGGCGGCGGCCGGUUUGGCCGGUCAAUUCCAGAUGGGCUUGACAAGCAGACCUCAGUAGCGCCAUCCCUUUCUGCCGCCGGCGAUCAAGGUGAGCACGCGUCGCCGAUUGUGAUCGAGCAGAAUGCGACGGCGUCAUGGACGGAGAAGGGCCGGACGUACCACCGGUACGCGGUGACGGUGACCAACAGGUCGCUGAACA